UCAUGUAUGUCAUUUGCAGAGGUGAGACUCACAAGGCAUGGGGCAAGGCUUUCACAUUAGUGGCACCCAUGCAGUGGAACACACUUUCUGUUGGGAUAUGUCAAGAUCCUCACUGACAAAUAUUCACUUGCCAGACCCUGACAGCCUCCAGACAUCUCCCCCACAGCCUGAGUAGCAGUGUACAAAUGGGUGUCAUUAAGCAUAUUGAUGAUACCACAUUCCAAGCCAUUGAAUGACCAUCUAUAUAACCAGUGGCUUUAUAUAGAUAAUAAAAAUAAGGGGAGACGAGGCCAACCCAUGCAGCACCCCACAAGUUGAAGAUUUGUACCUCAUCUUUCAAUCUAAUGGGUCUCAACAUGGCUUUUAACCAACAUGAAAUAAAAUUGGGGACCCACCCC